UACGUAGGUGGCAAGCGUUGUCCGGAAUUAUUGGGCGUAAAGCGCGCGCAGGCGGUCCUUUAAGUCUGAUGUGAAAGCCCACGGCUCAACCGUGGAGGGUCAUUGGAAACUGGGGGACUUGAGUACAGAAGAGAAGAGUGGAAUUCCACGUGUAGCGGUGAAAAUGCGUAGAGAUGUGGAGGAACACCAGUGGCGAAGGCGACUCUUUGGUCUGUAAACUGACGC
rnacentral:rRNA from 1 species